GUCUGUGAGUUUUGGACUCAUGAAAAUUUGAAAAGUCUGUAAUGAGAACCCAGACUGAGUUACUUCAUUUGCAAUCAUACCACAUAUAGUCUUUAGAUAUAGGAAGAUGGGGUGUGAGUGCCAAUGAGACAACUCUCCAUCCAAAUAACAAUUUAAAAAAGUAAACCAUUAUAGGCCUUCAACACGGAGCCUUGGCUCACACCGAACAACAAGCUAUAAAGGGCCCCAAAAUUACUAGUGUAAAACCAUUCAAACGGGAAAACCAAAAUAUGCUUAUUUGUAAAACAUUUAUAAGGUUGUUCUGAGUUUGAGACUGUUUAGCAAUUUUUUUAUAUAUAUAUAAAACAUGAUCAAUUGCAACUUUAUAUAAUUUUUCAUUGUGUACUUACAUGUACAUGUAUCACAC
rnacentral:lncRNA from 1 species